CUGUCCCAGCUGAGCCAUUUCAUUUGUCCCCGCCUGGGCAUCCCCAGACCCAGUUGGGAGCUGCUGAGUAACUUCAGUUGUCACCUUCCAGAGCAGAACAGUUGCUAGUGAGUCCUGUGUCUCUGACCCCCAGGUUUGGUAGGGACCCUAAAGUGUUUCAGCCCCCAGGGUCCCCCAGACAUCCCUCGGCUCAGAGCUAGUCCUCCAUCAUCCACAGCACCCCAGAGCACCCCACACCCCAUAUUGGGCACGAGACUGACCCAUAGCUCCAGAAAGGCCCGUCCUUGGAAGCCUUGCCUGGCCACACUCAGCCCACAGGGACGCUGGACAUACAGUCAGGGGAUCAGGACAUCACAGAAGGAAGGAUGGGGAGGUUCCAACUGGACACUUGGUCUUCAAGGCCCUGGAGCCACUCCUGCCAGCCUGGGGACCUGUCUGUCUCCUGUGCCCCACUCUGCCUGGAUCUGCACAGCAACCAACAGCCUGGUAGCUCAAUCUUACCACGGUGGGGCAUUGGCACCAUGGGAUCGACAUGCACUGCACACCUGGCUUUCCUUCCCACAGCCAGCGUCCUACAAUCCACGUUCCAAAGUCCCACGCAGCACCCAGCACCCUCGCCUGGGGCCUGGUGUGCUAUCACAUUAUGGAGGUUGAAAGGGCGGCCCAGAGAGGCUCAGGAGGUACCUGGAAACACCGGCCUGGCCCUGGUGGCCCCAGUGGCUGAUGUGGAGUCGAGCAUCCCGCCUGGCAGGGCCUGGCCAGGGCACCCUCGCUGCCCACCAGCCCAGACAGGUGUGUGGCUGUGCCCUCCGCUCGCACCCAUAAAUCAGCCCGCUAAUCUUUCACCAUCCCGGCCUCUCGCGGAUGUGAUGGAUGGGCUCCCAGCCCUGCCGGCUGCUGUGAAAUCACUCAGCAGGCAGACAAGCCCCUAAAUCUGACGCUCGGAGUGUUGAAAGGAGGGAUGUCUGUUUUCGUAACCUACCUCAGUUACAAUAAAUAUUUAAAA